CCUACGGGGGGCAGCAGUGGGGAAUAUUGGACAAUGGGCGCAAGCCUGAUCCAGCCACGCCGCGUGAGUGAUGAAGGCCUUCGGGUUGUAAAGCUCUGUGGGGAGAGGCGAAAACAGUCAGCAAGAAACGGCUGAUUCUUGACGGUAUCUCCUUAGCAAGCACCGGCUAACUCUGUGCCAGCAGCCGCGGUAAUACAGAGGGUGCGAACGUUGCUCGGAAUUACUGGGCGUAAAGCGCGUGUAGGCGGACCGGUAAGUCAGAUGUGAAAUCCCUGGGCUCAACCCAGGAACUGCAUUUGAAACUGCUGGUCUAGAGUAUCGGAGAGGGUGGCGGAAUUCCUGGUGUAGAGGUGAAAUUCGUAGAUAUCAGGAGGAACACCGGUGGCGAAGGCGGCCACCUGGACGGUCACUGACGCUGAGACGCGAAAGCGUGGGGAGCAAACAGGAUUAGAUACCCGAGUAGUC
rnacentral:rRNA from 1 species